rnacentral:rRNA from 1 species
AUGAUGGAAAUAUCGCCGACGGAUGUCUUGUUGGGCAGACUGGGCAGGAAGCCCGUGACGGCGGAGGCGGCCGGGGCCAGAAAGAAGAGGAUGAAGGUCGUCAAGAGGAGGUUGCCGCAGGCGCUCAUCGACCAUAUCAUCGCCUACCCCUACACGAUGGAGGACAUCCCUGCCGACCGCCUGGCCAAGCGUUCCAAGUUCUUCCGGGAGUUCUACGCCGAAAGUAAGGAGACGGCCGACAAUAUCGUGGCCUACCAGCGGGGACUCAUCGACCAGUACAACACCAAGGGCUACGCGGAGGAGGACAGGGAGGUCACCGACGACGAGGAGGAGACGGUGGAGAGCAAGGGCAGCAACCAUUUUUAUUUUAAAAAGCUUCAGUCAAAGUGGUUGAUAAUUUGCAAGGAGCCUACUUAG